GGGCAGUGUGUGUUUUUGUCCAGUAGAUGUCAGCAGAACGACUCUAAACUCACAGCUCAUUAUCCGACUUUUUAACAACUUUUUAGCAAAGACAUAAAAAAGUUUAAUAUUGUAUUAAAGUUUGGAAAAUUAUUGUAUCACAAAAUUCUAUAAUUGUGUUUAGAUUUGGAUGUAGAUGAUCAAAUAAAGUUGUAUUUUUACAGUCCCUCUAA